CGAGCCACACGAACGUUAUUCGGAAUUACUGGGCUUAAAGGGUGCGUAGGCGGUGCGGAAAGUUGGGUGUGAAAUCCCUCGGCUCAACCGAGGAACUGCGCCCAAAACUACCGUACUCGAGGAAGAUAGAGGUGAGCGGAACUUACGGUGGAGCGGUGAAAUGCGUUGAUAUCGUAAGGAACACCCGCGGCGAAAGCGGCUCACUGGGUCUUCUCUGACGCUGAUGCACGAAAGCUAGGGGAGCAAACGGGAUUAGAUACCCCGGUAGACCUAGCCGUAAACUCUGAGUACUGAAUUGAAGGGCCCUCCAUAGCCCUUCAGUUGUAGCGAAAGUGUUAAGUACUCCGCCUGGGGAGUAUGGUCGCAAGGCUG
rnacentral:rRNA from 1 species